UACGUAGGGUGCGAGCGUUAAUCGGAAUUACUGGGCGUAAAGUGUGCGCAGGCGGCGUUGCAAGUCGAGUGUGAAAUCCCCGAGCUUAACUUGGGAAUUGCGCUCGAAACUACGAUGCUAGAGUGUGGCAGAGGAAGGUGGAAUUCCACGUGUAGCGGUGAAAUGCGUAGAUAUCUGGAGGAACACCGGUGGCGAAGGCGGCAUCCUGGACCAACACUGACGCUGAGUGAGCGAAAGCCAGGGGAGCAAACGGG
rnacentral:rRNA from 1 species